GGACCCGCACAAGCGGUGGAGCAUGUGGUUUAAUUCGAAGCAACGCGAAGAACCUUACCAAAUCUUGACAUCCUUUGACAACUCUAGAGAUAGAGCCUUCCCCUUCGGGGGACAAAGUGACAGGUGGUGCAUGGUUGUCGUCAGCUCGUGUCGUGAGAUGUUGGGUUAAGUCCCGCAACGAGCGCAACCCUUAAGCUUAGUUGCCAUCAUUAAGUUGGGCACUCUAAGUUGACUGCCGGUGACAAACCGGAGGAAGGUGGGGAUGACGUCAAAUCAUCAUGCCCCUUAUGAUUUGGGCUACACACGUGCUACAAUGGACAAUACAAAGGGCAGCGAAAUCGCGAGGUCAAGCAAAUCCCAUAAAGUUGUUCUCAGUUCGGAUUGUAGUCUGCAACUCGACUACAUGAAGCUGGAAUCGCUAGUAAUCGUAGAU
rnacentral:rRNA from 1 species